CCCUACUGAAGUACAGGGAUUUGGUUUGGGGGGUUGUUUUUGUUUAAUAAAAAAGAAAAAAAAAAGUUGCUUUAAUGAUCGACAGUCAAGAGACAGUCCCCAGAAUGGGCGUGAAUAUCUGCAUAUGAAACAUCUGACAGGGGAUUGAUACUCAGACUAGACUAGGACCUCAAUUCAGCAGCAAGAACAAAUAACCCCCUCUUUAAAAACGAGCAAACGACCGGGAUACACAGUUCUCCAAAGAAGACAGAGAUGGUGAAGCAGGCUCAGCGUUACUAAUCAUCAGGGGAAUGUAGAUCAAAACCAUGAGAUCUCUUCCCCCCAUGCGGACAGCUUCUGUGAAAAACAAAAAGCAACAGAGAACAAAUGCAGCGGAGGACGCAGAGAGCAGGGACUCCUACAGUGUUGGAAUACAAAUGAGUACAGCCAUUCUGGAAAACAGUACGGAGCGUCCUCAAGAGACUAAAAGCAAAGCUGCCACGUGACCCACUAGGAAAUCCCACUAGGAGGCAUAGAUGUCAGGGAGGGCACUCAGUACCUCCUAAGGAUUCCACACCCAGAGUGCACUGCAGCCCCAGCCCCACCUGCAACCGCCGACACAGCCGCCCCGUGCCCAACGGACGCACAGCUGAACCACGGCAUGUGCGCAUGUAACGGAAGACGCUGCAGCCAUUAGGAGGCCGAAUACGGUCGUGUGAAGUUUCGGGGGCAAACGUGGAGGACAUUAUGUUAAAAGACAGAGCUUACCAGGGCAAAGAGGGGGAUCUGGGGACUUCGCUGAUUGAAGGUGCAGAGGUUCUGUUUGGGCCGGAUUCUGAGUAGUGGGAACGACUAUACCACAUCAUGAAUACACAUAAGGCCACUAACUCGCACAGAUUCAGCAAGAGUAGCUGUACACCAAGUGUGGUUCUGGAGUGUCGUCAAACCUGUCUGAAGCAGAGAGCAAGUUAUAUCAUAAACUACGUUAGAGAAGCUCCUAGUCCCGCUGAACCUCAGAGCAGAAACCAUGCAGUCCUGGAGAGAACAGAAUACAUUCAAAAUACUAAAAACAAACAAACAAACAACAACAACAACAAAAAAAAACACAACAAAACUGC